UCCGGUUUAACACCGGCAGUCUCCCUAGAGUCCCCAACUUAAUGCUGGUAACUAAGGACAGGGGUUGCGCUCGUUGCCGGACUUAACCGAACAUCUUACGACACGAGCUGACGACAGCCAUGCAGCACCUAUCCUACCGUCUCCGAAGAGAAGGCCCCAUCUCUGGGGUUGUCGAUAAAUGUUAAGCCCAGGUAAGGUUCUGCGCGUUGCUUCGAAUUAAACCACAUACUCCACCGCUUGUGCGGGCCCCCGUCAAUUCCUUUGAGUUUUAGCCUUGCGACCGUACUCCCCAGGCGGAUUACUUAAUGCGUUAGCUUUGGUACCCAAACGGUUAAACAUUCGGACACCUAGUAAUCAUCGUUUACAGCGUGGACUAC
rnacentral:misc_RNA from 1 species